AAAAUGGUAAUAUGAUGCAAUAGUGAUAACAAAUGGAUGCUCAAAACAUGUAAAAUGCACACUUAUCAAGUAGAAGAGCUAGAACCGCAACCGGAUUUUGAAAACCCAAGUAGUGUUUCCUUGUUAGAAGAUACAAAGCCCAAGACUCAUACGGACUUCGGUUACACCAUUAAAGCUUUGAGAAGCAAGAAGAAGUUUGGUUUGUGUUUUU
rnacentral:sRNA from 1 species